rnacentral:rRNA from 1 species
UACAGAGGUCUCAAGCGUUGUUCGGAUUCAUUGGGCGUAAAGGGAGCGUAGGUGGCGGGGCAAGUCUGGUGUGAAAUCCCGGGGCUCAACCCUGGAACUGCACUGGAUACUGCCUUGCUAGAGUGCUGGAGAGGAGAUUGGAAUUUACGGUGUAGCAGUGAAUGCGUAGAUAUCGUAAGGGAAGACCAGUGGCGAAGGCGAA